GCGACACCUGCCCCGGCGUUCCGGUGGCGGUGACAUUGCUGAUGCCGCCCAGCAGCUGCAUGUGCCGUCCCUGCGGGUCGCC
rnacentral:tRNA from 1 species